GGCUCUUUUGUUUUGUAAAAAAACAAAGCAUAAAAGAAAAAAAACCAGCUUCACAGCACAGAGUUAACUCUUUUUUUGGCAAGAUUUUCUAGCGUUUCUCCAGAAAAGUUUCCGAAUAAUCUGCAUAUACUCGUUUCUUUUGUUUCGUUUGGAAAAAAAUAAUAAUAAAGUAAAAAUACGGCAUUAACAAAGAGCUCGAGACUUUUUUGUACCGUUCUUUCCGAAAAGUUUCCGAGUACUCUGCACAUACUCUGUAGAAAUGAUUUGAAACAUUUUAUGUAUACCACUUUUGUUGUUUCGGUUUUUUAUUUAUGAUCAGUUUUUCUUCAGCAUUUGAACAGAGCAGAUGCGCAGUAAAUUAAAAGUGUCGAAAAAAAUGGUUAUAGUGAAAAUAAUCAUAAUUAUUAGAAUGGAAGCUCCUAAUACAAACACCUUUGAGUUACUAUCCUUAUUAGUUCAACAAAAUAAGACACUGCUGGAACAAAAUACUACUUUAUUAGAAACAAAUAAAAAACAAAUGGAUGAACAAUUGCAAGCUAUGAAGGAACAAUAUACAAAACAGAACGACGAUACCUCGAAAAUGUUUUCAUAUUUUACAACCCAAAUUAUAGAAUUGAAAAGAAGCAUUGAUAUAAUUCUGGAGGAGGUUGAAAUCAAAAACAACAUUAAUUCACUGGAAAAGCUACGCACCACUAAAGAAGCUUAACAUUUUUGAAAAUAAAUUAAAGAACGAUUUUGGCUUUCCGAACCUUAUGUAACACCGUUUCAAAAUGCAUUCCCAUGAUAAUAUACGAUUACUUUACGGGAUAAUUACUUUAUUAGGCUCCUUAAAGAUGCGGCAUUGGAAACCCAUAUCAAACAUUUUUUUACUAUCCCAAAAAUCGCGGCAAAAAAAUAAACGGAAAUAAUCUAAUUAAAUUCUUUUAGAAUUUUAAAAUGCUACCUAUUUUAAUAAAAAUCAGUUUCAGUAAAGAUUUUAUUUGUAUUGAAUUACUAAUGUUUAUGUUUUUUAU